AGUACAAGGCCGAUCAAAACUGGGUACGAAUAGAAGGGAAUAAGCUUGUUUUUCCAGGGGGUGGAACGACUUUUCCUCACGGUGUGGAAUGGUAUGUGAGGCACAUUUCCAAAGUAGUGCCGUUGAAGACCGGGGAGAUUCGCACAGUGCUGGACAUCGGAUGUGGAUUAACUACAAACAGGUUGCCAGCUUUGGUAACCAUCUGCUGGAUUAUAAUGCGUUGACAAUGUCUGUUGCACCAAGAGAUGUCCAUGAAGCUCAAGUACAAUUUGCCUUGGAGCGUGGUCUGCCUGCCAUGUUAGGAGUUUUAUCGAUCUUUCGCCUCCCAUAUCCAUCUAGGUCUUUUGAUAUGGCCCACUGUUCAAGAUGUCUCAUCAAGUGGGCCAGCCGUGAGGGUUUGUAUUUGUUGGAGAUUGAUCGUAUUCUCCGACCCGGUGGUUACUUUGUUUUAUCUGGGCCACCCAUCAACUGGAAACAAAUGUAUAAAGGUUGGGAAAGAACGCCCGAGGACUUGGAAGCUGAACAGAACGACAUAGAAGAUUUGGCCCAAAAACUUUGUUGGAAAAAGGUUGCAGAGAAGGGCCCUAUCGCGGUGUGGAGAAAACCAACAAAUCAUCUCCACUGUGCAACAAAAUUGAAAACCUUAAAUUCUCUACAUUUUUGUGAGGGAAGAGAUCCAGAUACUGCUUGGUAUGAUGAGAUGCAGGCCUGUUUAACCCCCCUUCCAAAGGCAGAACAAAUUAAGGACACAGCGGGCGGCAUUCUUGCCAAGUGGCCUAGAAGACUAAUUGUCAUACCCCCAAGGAUAAAAAGUUGGAGUGUGAAGGGAGUCACCUCUGAGAACUUCAAUCACGAUAACCGGAUUUGGAAUCAGAGAGUCUCAAACUAUGGUAUUUACAUCAAUUUUGGUUUGGCUGGUAAAUACAGAAACAUCAUGGACAUGAAUGCUGGUUUAGGAGGUUUUGCUGCUGCUUUGGAAAGAUACCAACUUUGGGUUAUGAAUGUAAUUCCGGUGAACACAUCGAUCAACACCCUUGGCAUAAUUUAUGAGCGUGGUCUUCUUGGAACUUAUAUGAAUUGGUGUGAAGCAUUUUCUACCUACCCUCGCACAUAUGAUCUGAUACAUGCUAAUGGAAUUUUCAGCAUGUACUUGUACAAGUGUGAAUUCAUUGACAUCUUACUUGAGAUGGACCGCAUUCUUCGCCCUGAAGGGACUGUGAUAAUCAGAGACCAUGUCGACAUUGUCAUAAAGUUGAAGAACGAAGCCGAGCGACUCGGGUGGCAAUGCCGCAUGGUUCACAGUGAAAAGGGCCCCUUCCACCAGGAGAAACUUCUUAUUGUUGACAACUCAAUAAAGAGCCAUAUCACAAGGAACUAAUAUCCUCCUCGUAAAUCUCUUUUCAAUGUAUCCUUGUUGAGCUAUAAUUCAGCUUUCAUUUAUGUUCAGGAUUGCGCAUUGUGUAAGAAUAAAAUUUUUGGAGGUCAUUAAUGAAAAAUGGUAAUGGUCAAUUUACAACAAAGAAAGAGUCCUUUCAUUUGGUAUAGUUUGACUAAUCUGGUUAGAUUGGGCAUGGAUCUUCACAACUGGUCUCUGCAUUCCUUUGGGUAGCCAACCAAUUGUUUCUUUCAGAGAUUUUAGAAUAUAGAGGAGUGUCAAAAUGGUCCCCAUGUUUUUUGCAGGGGACAUUUGAGUCCCCAAUUUUAUAAAAAUUUCAAUGUAGUCCCCAGAUUCUUUUAAUAUGGGCUGAAGUAGUCUCUGGCGAGGACUAUUUUAGCCCUUCAUUAAACAGUUGGAUGACUAAUUUAGCACUUUUUAUAAACAUUGGGAGUCAGGACUAAAAUGAACCCGUAUAAAUAGUCAGGGGACUUUGAGAAUAUAUAAAUAUUAACAUGGAUGCUAUGAAAAUGUAUUGUGGUGUGUAAACAUUGGCUAUGUAAGAGUAAUAUGGUCUUGUCCAAUAGGAUCAUCGGAAUUCUUGCAGGGUUGCAAUCUCUCUGGAUGGAUAAUUAAUCCUAUAUUUGAGACAUGUAUGGUGAUUAAAGGAUCCGUUCUUACUAAUUUACUUUUACCCGCUGAAAAGAAAUACAGAAUUCCAGGGAAAUGCAGAGGUACUAUUAGCUACGGCCCACAAAACUACCGAGAGGCAUAAUUUUUUGUCGCAAUAUUCUUCUUAAUUAAUUGAUGUCCGAGGUAUGCUCCCUGGGAUUCUACUAAGGUGCUUGCUAUUUGCUUUCUGGAAACCUUAUUUCAUUGGAGUCAUUUCACAUCAAAUGAUUCCUUGUUGAACUUGAAGAAUCUGCUGCUUUCUGGGCAUAACAAGUAAAUUGGUUUUAUGCCAGGGAGAUUUGCAGACCACUCCAUUCUUAUUUAUUUAUAUAUUUGACACAACUUUUAAUUUUUACA